rnacentral:rRNA from 1 species
ACGCGAGCUGGGUUCAGAACGUCGUGAGACAGUUCGGUCCCUAUCCGUCGCAGGCGUAGGAAAUUUGAGAAGACCUGUCCUUAGUACGAGAGGACCGGGAUGGACGUACCUCUGGUGUACCAGUUGUCCUGCCAAGGGCAUGGCUGGGUAGCUGUGUACGGAAUGGAUAAGCGCUGAAAGCAUCUAAGCGCGAAGCCAACUUCAAGAUAAGAUUUCCCACCGCAAGGGUAAGACCCCAGAAAGACUAUCUGGUUG